rnacentral:rRNA from 1 species
AGUGAACGCUGGCGGUAGGCCUAACACAUGCCAGUCGAACGGCAGCACAGUAAGAGCUUGCUCUUACGGGUGGCGAGUGGCGGACGGGUGAGGAAUACAUCGGAAUCUACUUUUUCGUGGGGGAUAACGUAGGGAAACUUACGCUAAUACCGCAUACGACCUACGGGUGAAAGCAGGGGAUCUUCGGACCUUGCGCGAUUGAAUGAGCCGAUGUCGGAUUAGCUAGUUGGUGGGGUAAAGGCCCACCAAGGCGACGAUCCGUAGCUGGUCUGAGAGGAUGAUCAGCCACACUGGAACUGAGACACGGUCCAGACUCCUACGGGAGGCAGCAGUGGGGAAUAUUGGACAAUGGGCGCAAGCCUGAUCCAGCCAUACCGCGUGGGUGAAGAAGGCCUUCGGGUUGUAAAGCCCUUUUGUUGGGAAAGAAAAGCAGCAGGUUAAUACCCCGCUGUUCUGACGGUACCCAAAGAAUAAGCACCGGCUAACUUCGUG